UCCGGGCGGCUGCAGCCCGCGGAUCCCUCCGCCCGGCCACCCGCGGAUCCUUCCGCCAGCGCGCUCUCUUCCUCUUCCCCCCCCACCUCCCCUCCUCUACUCAGCGCGGGGCGGGGCCGCGGGGGAGCCGCCGCUGCAGCGGGGCUCGUGCCCGGCGCGCGCGCUCCCGGCCGUUGCGGAGGGGCGCGAGCGGGGCCCAACGGCUGCGCCGCCUCAGCUGGGCUGGGGGCGGCUGAGGGGGGGGCCUCCGGGAGUAGCCCCCGGGGCUCCUCUGGGAAAAAGCAAGAUCUUUGGAGUGAAUGUUACGGUCCUCCUGUAAAACAAAGACUAACAGCACUAAAAGUGUGUGGAGGAGCUUCAUAGUUUCUGCAGCUGUCAAGCCAAAUGAGCUGAAAUCUGACUGAAAUCUUCCACCAUGCCCCCUGUCCCCAGGAUGGAUCUCACUCAGGAGUCUGGCAAGGUAUACGCACAGACUGGUACUGCUUCCUCAAUUAGCAAGCCAGCAGGCCACCUCAAGUUAUAAGAACCCAUCUUUGCCUAUCCUCUCAGCACUGUACCCCUCAUAAAGAUCACACCCCAAGCUCUCAAGUGUAACUGAGAUAUGUUUAGUUCUCCAUACAGUGUGGUUCACUUUGAAAUUUCAUCUCUAUUUUCUCCUUUAAGAGUAAAAUACUAUAUUUCAGUUAUAAUAGAAUGGACAAGAUAGUUGGAAUGAUUCUUUGACUUUGAAAUAAUAGAAUGUAGAAACAUUAAAUAGCUGUAAUUGUUUCAAGUAUUCCAGGGAUGUAUUCAGUAAUUUUUUGGAACUGUAAAACUUUAUACUUUUUGUAAUGUCUAAAUGCACAGGGAGAAAAACCUUGUUUUUUCACAUUUUCAUGAUCUAAAGCAGACCUGUCUUUAUGUAAUAGCAUGUGGCCUACUGCUUUUGAAAAAAGAGAUAUAGAGAUUUACCUUUAUACUUGAAGUGUUGUGUUUGUUCUUGUACAGGUAAAGUAUUUCUGUCUAAUUUCCAUCGCAUCUCCUCUGCUACCACAUCAAAGGUUCUACACAGAGGGCACUGAAAUUAUUACAAACAAUGUCUUUGUGCCUAGACCCCAGUUCUGCAGGUUACAGAAUUGUUUCAUGAUCUCACCUUUUUUUUUUUUUUUUAACCAUAACUUUCUAUGCCAGUUUUUGCAAACUGAAAAGAACAGGAACACAAAGUAAAGCCUCAAGUCUGCAGACAGCAUGAAAGCAUAAUUGUGUUUACAGCCCCAUUUACCUCGUCAGAAUUUGUCAAAUGAUUUGUGGUUAGCCCUGCCCACACUGAACUAAGGGAAGAGACCGAUCUGUGACAAGAAUGUAAACGUAAUUACCCAUCUUCAGCUGCUGCAUGAAACAGUGGUUUUCUCUUCCUCUUGUACAGAAGCAAAGGAAAGAGGUGACAGAGAAAGCUCUUGCUGCGUUUUUUGGUUACUGAUCUGCACUGCCAGGUUGCUACAUCUUUGCAGGGCCUCAUGACGAAUACAAAACAGGAAUCAAAUGUGGAUGAUUGGGACCCACUGCAGGGUUAUAAAUGUGCAGUCAAAAUUAGAAUUUUCUGUAUCUGGGAUGAUUUAACAGGACUGUGGUCAUUGGAAAUUGCAAGCUAAUGAGAAGGACAGUAACCUCACCUGUUCUUACAUAUGUUUGCUCCCAGAGAAAUCUGUUUUCCCUAUCAAACCAUGGCUACAGGAAUAGAUGGGACAAUACCAGAGAGAGCAAGGCCACCAAGAGUCCAAGUCUCAGUAUGGCUAGGAAUUUCCCAAGAUCCCAGAAAGUACACUAGACUAAAAGUUACUUUUU